GAUGAAGAACGCAGUGAAAUGCGAUAAGUAGUGUGAAUUGCAGAAUUCAGUGAAUCAUCGAAUCUUUGAACGCACAUUGCGCCCUUUGGUAUUGCUUAGGGCAUGCCUGUUCGAGCGUCAUUUACAAAUUCAAGCUCAGCUUGGUGAUGGGUGUCUGUCCCGCCUUUGCGCGUGGACUCGCCUCAAAUGCAGUUGGCAGCUUAUCCCUCGGCUCUAAACGCAGCAGAUUUGCGUCGAGCGCCGUGUGGACGGGCUCUCCAGUAAGCAAACCCCCCAAAAUUGACCUCGGAUCAGGUAGGGAUACCCGCUGAACUUAAGCAUAUCAAUAAGCGGAGGA
rnacentral:misc_RNA from 1 species